UGCAAGUCGAGCGAGAAUCUUAAUUUGAAGCUUCGGUUGAUUAUUAAGAUGGACAGCGGCGAAAGGGAGAGUAACACGUAAAUACGUACCCAAAGGUGCGGAAUAGCGGGGGGAAACCGCCGGUAAUGCCGCAUAAUGUCUCCGGACCAAAGAUUUAUCGCCUUUGGAGCGGUUUGCGUACUAUUAGCUUGUUGGUGGGGUAAAGGCCUACCAAGGCUUAGAUGGUUAGCGGGCGUGAGAGCGUGGCCCGUCUCACUGGGACUGAGACACUGCCCAGACACCUACGGGUGGCUGCAGUCGAGAAUCUUCGGCAAUGGACGAAAGCCUGACCGAGCGACGCCGCGUGCGGGAUGAAGGCCUUCGGGUUGUAAACCGCUGUCAGAGGGGAGCAAAUUUUGAGCGAUCCUCAGAGGAAGCACAGGCUAAGUUCGUGCCAGCAGCCGCGGUAAUACGAACUGUGCAAACGUUAUUCGGAAUCACUGGGCUUAAAGGGUGCGUAGGCGGCUAUGUAGGUCUGAUGUGAAAUCCCACGGCUCAACCGUGGAACUGCGUUGGAAACCAUAUAGCUUGAGGGAGACAGAGGAAAGCGGAACUGAUGGUGGAGCGGUGAAAUGCGCUGAGAUCAUCAGGAACACCGGUGGCGAAAGCGGCUUUCUGGGUCUCUUCUGACGCUGAGGCACGAAAGCUAGGGGAGCGAACGGGAUUAGAUACCCCGGUAGUCCUAGCUGUAAACGAUCUGUACUAGUCCGUGGGGACUCCCACAUCUUCUCGGACGUAGCGAAAGUGUUAUGUACAGCGC
rnacentral:rRNA from 1 species